AGGAAUUGGCGGGGGAGCACCACAAGGGGUGAAGCCUGCGGUUCAAUUGGAGUCAACGCCGGAAAUCUUACCGGGGGCGACAGCAGUGUGAAGGUCAAGCCGAAGACUUUACUCGACAAGCUGAGAGGAGGUGCAUGGCCGUCGCCAGCUCGUGCCGUGAGGUGUCCUGUCAAGUCAGGCAACGAGCGAGACCUGCAUUCUUAUUUGCUAACAUGCCCGUAAGGGCGAGUGAGCACAAUAAGAAGACUGCUUCGGAAACGGAGAGGAAGGUGCAGGCUACGCCAGGUCUGUACGCCCCGAAUCUCCUGGGCUACACGCGCGCAACAAUGAUCGGGACAAUGGGAUGCAACGCCGAAAGGCGAAGCGAAACCUCGAAACCCGAUCCUAGUGCAGGUUGAGGGUUGCAACUCACCCUCAUGACGUCGGAAUCCCUAGUAAUCAGACGUUAGCAUCGUCCGGUGAAUAUGUCCCUGCUCCUUGCACACACCGCCCGUC
rnacentral:rRNA from 1 species